UUGGAAAUAUAUUUUUCUUAUAAAUUAAAUAAUUUUCCGUGUUUUUAUUCUUACGUGUGAGGCUCAUAUUUGGAAUACGUACACAUAUUUUUAAGUUUGUUUCCGUAAUCCACCAUGACUUAUAAAGGAUCAAUAUUGUAAAGCUUAUAUAUCUACAACCACAAGAACAACUUUCGGUUGGUCCGCGAGUAGUGGUGUUUACAACUAAUUGAUCACAACCAGUUACAGAUUUCUUUGUUCCUUCUCCACUCCCACUGCU
rnacentral:sRNA from 1 species